GUAUUGGUAGUUCAGGAGUAGAAUUUUUGCCUUCUGUGUGGGAGACCCAGGUUUGAUUCCUAGCCAGUGCA
rnacentral:tRNA from 1 species